rnacentral:rRNA from 1 species
GAUGAACGCUGGCGGCGUGCUUAACACAUGCAAGUCGAACGGUGAAGCAGAGCUUGCUCUGUGGAUCAGUGGCGAACGGGUGAGUAACACGUGAGCACUCUGCCCCUGACUCAGGGAUAAGCGCUGGAAACGGCGUCUACUACUGGCUACGAGCCGUGAAGGCAUCUUCAACGGUUGGAAAGAUUUUUCGGUCAGGGAUGAGCUCGCGGCCUAUCAGCUUGUUGGUGAGGUAAUGGCUCACCAAGGCGUCGACGGGUAGCCGGCCUGAGAGGGGGACCGGCCACACUGGGACUGAGACACGGCCCAGACUCCUACGGGAGGCAGCAGUGGGGAAUAUUGCACAAUGGGCGCAAGCCUGAUGCAGCAACGCCGCGUGAGGGAUGACGGCCUUCGGGUUGUAAACCUCUUUUAGCAGGGAAGAAGCGAAAGUGACGGUACCUGCAGAAAAAGCGCCGGCUAACUACGUGCCAGCAGCCGCUGUAAAAC